rfam:Picea glauca, whole genome shotgun sequence.
ACUAAGGUUGUUUUCACAACCCUCUUCACACACAUAGAAAUGGAAG